UUUUACGGAGAGUUUGAUCCUGGCUCAGGACGAACGCUGGCGGCGUGCUUAACACAUGCAAGUCGAGCGGUAAGGCCUUUCGGGGUACACGAGCGGCGAACGGGUGAGUAACACGUGGGUGAUCUGCCCUGCACUCUGGGAUAAGCUUGGGAAACUGGGUCUAAUACCGGAUAUGACC
rnacentral:rRNA from 1 species